rnacentral:rRNA from 1 species
CACGUAGUUAGCCGGGGCUUCUUAGUCAGGUACCGUCAUUUUCUUCCCUGCUGAUAGAGCUUUACAUGCCGAGAUACUUCUUCACUCACGCGGCGUCGCUGCAUCAGGGUUUCCCCCAUUGUGCAAUAUUCCCCACUGCUGCCUCCCGUAGGAGUUUGGGCCGUGUCUCAGUCCCAAUGUGGCCGUCCGCCCUCUCAGGCCGGCUACCGAUCGUCGCUUUGGUGGGCCGUUACCCCGCCAACUGGCUAAUCGGACGCGGAUCCAUCGUAUGCCGAUAAAUCUUUUCACACCGUACCAUGCGGUACUGUGCGCUUAUGCGGUAUUAGCAGCUGUUUCCAACUGUUAUCCCCCUGCAUACGGCAGGUUAUCCACGCGUUACUCACCCGUCCGCCACUAACUUAACAAUCACUAGGUUUCAUGUUAAGCCCGUUCGACUUGCAUGUGUUAGGCACGCCGCCAGCGUUCAUCCUGAGCCAGGAUCAAACUCU